rnacentral:rRNA from 1 species
CCUACGGGAGGCUGCAGUGGGGAAUUUUGGACAAUGGGGGCAACCCUGAUCCAGCCAUUCCGCGUGAGUGAAGAAGGCCUUCGGGUUGUAAAGCUCUUUCGGCCGGGAAGAAAUCGCAUCUCCUAAUACGGGGUGUGGAUGACGGUACCGGAAGAAGAAGCACCGGCUAACUACGUGCCAGCAGCCUCGGUAAUACGUAGGGUACGAGCGGGGAGCGGAAUUACUGGGCGUGAAGCGUGCGCAGGCGGGUGAAAUCCCCGGGCUUAACCUGGGAACUGCGUUGGUGACUGGUGGGCUUGAGUGCGGCAGAGGGGGGUGGAAUUCCACGUGUAGCAGUGAAAUGCGUAGAGAUGUGGAGGAACACCGAUGGCGAAGGCAGCCCCCUGGGUCGACACUGACGCUCAUGCACGAAAGCGUGGGGAGCAAACAGGAUUAGAUACCCCAGUAGUC